rnacentral:rRNA from 1 species
UACGGAGGGUGCGAGCGUUGUUCGGAAUUACUGGGCGUAAAGCGCGUGCAGGCGGUCUCUUAAGUCUGGUGUGAAAGCCCGGGGCUCACCCCCGGAAGGGCACUGGAGACUGGGAGGCUAGAGUACCGGAGAGGAAGGUGGAAUUCCUGGUGUAGCGGUGAAAUGCGUAGAUAUCAGGAGGAACACCGGUGGCGAAGGCGGCCUUCUGGACGGCUACUGACGCUGAGACGCGAAAGCGUGGGGAGCAAACAGGAUUAGAUACCCUGGUAGUCCACGCCGUAAACGAUGGGUACUAGGUGUUCGGGG